UACGAAGGGUGCAAGCGUUAAUCGGAAUUACUGGGCGUAAAGCGUGUGUAGGCGGUUUCUUAAGUCUGCUGUGAAAUCCCCGGGCUCAACCUGGGAAUGGCAGUGGAUACUGGGAGCUAGAGUGUGGAUAGAGGAUGGUGGAAUUCCCCGGUGUAGCGGGUGAAAUGCGUAGAGAUCGGGAGGAACUCAGUGGCGAAGGCGGCCAUCUGGAUCACACUGACGCUGAGACACGAAAGCGUGGGGAGCAAACAGG
rnacentral:rRNA from 1 species